rnacentral:lncRNA from 12 species
UUUCAGUUUCUUCAGUGCUCACUCUAAAAACAGCUUAUCUAUAUAGACAUGACUAUUCUCUCGCUUAUUUUGUUAAAAAUCAGAAGUAAUUUGAGUUAAAUUCACUGAAUGACAUUUGUGCAACUCAGAAAAGUGUCAUGACCAGGAACUAUUCAGAUGCCGUGGAUUUGACUUAGUGUAAGAUUGGUGUAAGGGUCAUCAGGAUCUCUGUACAGAUUUGUGAAGGUAUGUAUUUCUUUUUGUCACAGACACAUAAGUACUCAUUAGGGGUAAUUAUCAAAUAAAGACAACACAGUCAAAGGUGCACAAGGUUGACAGGGGUCUUAACAGGUCUUGUUUCAAGUUUUCCUGGACUGAGAACAAAUGUACAAGCACAUGUGGCAUGUGUCUGGACUAAGAGAGAACAAAUGUACAAGCACAUGUGGCAUGUGUCAACCCAAAGAUUUUCUGGCGUUCAUUUUCUGCUGCUUACAAGAUUAAUUGGUGCAUUAAGAGCUGGACUUGAGCUUCUUUAGAUUGUUAAUGCAAGAUUUGCUGUUGGAGGCUGCCUGGGAAACAUCAGCGCUCCUGCACGGAGAAGUGUUGUGCCCUUUUAAAUGUACACAAGGCCUUUGCAGCAACCUUCCUUCUGAGCUUGCUGACCUACCGUGGCUUUGGUGCUUUAUUUUCACUGACCAGUACAGUGCCAACAUGAAGGAAAAGCAAGACCAAAUAUCUGCCUUUCUAAAGACGAGACCUCUAGAGGAGAGAAGAAAAAGGGGAUAUCACAUAAAC